rnacentral:rRNA from 1 species
UACGGAGGAUCCAAGCGUUAUCCGGAAUCAUUGGGUUUAAAGGGUCCGUAGGCGGUUUAGUAAGUCAGUGGUGAAAUCUCCGGGCUUAACCCGGAAACUGCCAUUGAUACUAUUAGUCUUGAAUGUCGUGGAGGUAAGCGGAAUAUGUCAUGUAGCGGUGAAAUGCUUAGAUAUGACAUAGAACACCGAUGGCGUAGGCAGCUUACUACACGAAUAUUGACACUGAGGCACGAAAGCGUGGGGAUCAAACAGG